AAGACUUCGGUCAAGUUGAACGGAUGACUUAGUGGCGGACGGGUGAGUAACGCGUGGGUAACCUGCCUUAUACAGGGGGAUAACAGUUGGAAACGACUGCUAAUACCGCAUAAGCGCACAGCUUCGCAUGAAGCAGUGUGAAAAACUCCGGUGGUAUAAGAUGGACCCGCGUCUGAUUAGCUGGUUGGUGAGGUAACGGCCCACCAAGGCGACGAUCAGUAGCCGGCCUGAGAGGGUGAACGGCCACAUUGGGACUGAGAUACGGCCCAGACUCC
rnacentral:rRNA from 1 species